rnacentral:rRNA from 1 species
CCUACGGGGUGCAGCAGUGGGGAAUAUUGCACAAUGGGCGAAAGCCUGAUGCAGCAACGCCGCGUGAGCGAUGAAGGCCUUCGGGUCGUAAAGCUCUGUUCUCCAGGAAGAUAAUGACGGUACUUGAGGUGGAAGCCCCGGCUAACUACGGGACAGCAGCCGCGGUACUACGCAGGGGGCUGGCGUUAUCCGGAAUUACCGGGCGUAAAGGGUGCGUAGGUGGUUUCUUAAGUCAGCGGUGAAAGGAUACGGCUCAACCGUAGUAAGCCUUUGAAACUGGGAACCUUGAGUGCACGAGAGGCGAGUGGAAUUCCUAGUGUAGCGGUGAAAUGCGUAGAUAUUAGGAGGAACACCAAUUGCGAAGGCGGCUCACUGGACUGUAACUGACGCUGAGGCACGAAAGCGUGGGGAGCAAACAGGAUUAGAUACCCUGGUAGUC